GCCUCUGUAGCUUAGUAGCUAGAGCGACUGACUUGUAAUCAGUAGGUCGAGGGCGCACAUCCCUCCAGAGGCU
rnacentral:tRNA from 1 species